rnacentral:rRNA from 1 species
AUUGAACGCUGGCGGCAUGCCUUACACAUGCAAGUCGAACGGUAACAGGUCUUCGGAUGCUGACGAGUGGCGAACGGGUGAGUAAUGCAUCGGAACGUGCCCAGUUGUGGGGGAUAACUGCUCGAAAGAGCAGCUAAUACCGCAUACGACCUGAGGGUGAAAGCGGGGGAUCGCAAGACCUCGCGCAAUUGGAGCGGCCGAUGUCAGAUUAGGUAGUUGGUGGGGUAAAGGCCUACCAAGCCGACGAUCUGUAGUUGGUCUGAGAGGACGACCAGCCAGACUGGGACUGAGACACGGCCCAGACUCCUACGGGAGGCAGCAGUGGGGAAUUUUGGACAAUGGGCGCAAGCCUGAUCCAGCAAUGCCGCGUGCAGGAAGAAGGCCUUCGGGUUGUAAACUGCUUUUGUCAGGGAAGAAAUCUUCUGAGUUAAUACCUCGGGAGGAUGACGGUACCUGAAGAAUAAGCACCGGCUAACUACGUGCCAGCAGCCGCAGUAACAC